rnacentral:rRNA from 1 species
UACGUAGGGUGCAAGCGUUGUCCGGAAUUAUUGGGCGUAAAGAGCUCGUAGGCGGUCAGUCGCGUCUGCUGUGAAAACUCGGGGCUUAACUCCGGGCCUGCAGUGGGUACGGGCUGACUAGAGUGCGGUAGGGGAGACUGGAAUUCCUGGUGUAGCGGUGAAAUGCGCAGAUAUCAGGAGGAACACCGGUGGCGAAGGCGACUUCCUGGACCAAUACUGACGCUCAGGUGCGAAAGCGUGGGGAGCAAACAGG